rnacentral:rRNA from 1 species
GACGAACGCUGGCGGCGUGCCUAACACAUGCAAGUCGAACGGGGUAAUCCUUCGGGGUUACUUAGUGGCGAACGGGUGAGUAACGCGUGAGGAACCUGCCUCUCAGUGGGGGACAACAGUUGGAAACGACUGCUAAUACCGCAUAAUAUUUCCGGACCGCAUGAUCUGGAAAUCAAAGCUUUAUGUGCUGAGAGAUGGCCUCGCGUCUGAUUAGCUAGUUGGUGGGGUAACGGCCCACCAAGGCGACGAUCAGUAGCCGGUCUGAGAGGAUGAACGGCCACAUUGGGACUGAGAUACGGCCCAGACUCCUACGGGAGGCAGCAGUGGGGAAUAUUGGGCAAUGGGGGAAACCCUGACCCAGCAACGCCGCGUGAAGGAAGAAGGCC